rnacentral:rRNA from 1 species
GACGAACGCUGGCGGCGUGCUUAACACAUGCAAGUCGAACGGAGAGGCAAUACUUUUGUGUUGUGGAUGAGUGGCGAACGGGUGAGUAACACGUGAGUAACCUGCCCCUGACUUUGGGAUAACUUCUGGAAACUGCGGCUAAUACCGGAUAGGAGCUCCUGCUGCAUGGCGGCUGUCUGGAAGUUUCGGCGGUUGGGGAUGGACUCGCGGCCUAUCAGCUUGUUGGUGGGGUAGUGGCUUACCAAGGCUAUGACGGGUAGCCGGCCUGAGAGGGUGACCGGCCACACUGGGACUGAGACACGGCCCAGACUCCUACGGGAGGCAGCAGUGGGGAAUAUUGCACAAUGGGCGGAAGCCUGAUGCAGCGACGCCGCGUGAGGGAUGACGGCCUUCGGGUUGUAAACCUCUUUCGGCUGUGACGAAGCGAGAGUGACGGUAACUGGUGAAGAAGCACCGGCUAACUACGUG